rnacentral:snRNA from 1 species
AGGUGAGCGCCAGCAAAGAGGGAAUCAAGUUCAGCGUGCAGGGUGACAUUGGAGCAGGCAACGUGAUGCUCAAGCCCAGGGAGGCUGAGAAGGUU